CCCGCGUCGUGUGGGACCGUUCGGCGAGGUCCCUCAAGUGGACCUCGCCGAGCGGCCGUGCCGCGGCCGUGCGGUC
rnacentral:tRNA from 1 species